UAUACAUUAGGGCGUCCAGAUUCCAGAUUCAUUCUUUGCCUGCAGAUACCCAGGUGUCCCUGCACUAUUUGUUGAAUACACUGUUCUUUCAAUGAAGUGUUGUUGGCACCCUUGUGGAAAACUGACUGUAAAUAUAAGGAGACUGAGGAUUAUGUCUUCUCUCUUUUGUGGGGAGCUCAUUAUCAAUGAAUGGAAGUUGUAAUGAAAAAGAUAUUGAUUCAUCCUGAGAAAAUAUUUUUCUGAGAGUCAGCGUUGAAGAGUGUGACCACUGAAGGAGAGGAAAACAAGUCUAAAAUUACUUUCCAGUUGGAAAUGGAAUGGAGAGUUAACGUUGGAAGCCGGAAAAGUCUGUCCUGUGAUGAAGCGGUCUCCGAGCUACUUCCACUGGGACGUCACGUCACUGUCUAGGCCCUUUGCUCAGCCUGUGCACAGAUGACAGGGCAGUGGGUUGGAAAUGAAUUUGGGGAUUUGGUUCUAUUUAAUAGUUUCCUGAGGGUCUUGGCCUGGCACAUAGAGUGGGAGCAUUCCCUGUCCCACAGGAUCGUGCUCUGGGCCCGUGCAGACCUGACGUGGUCUCAGCCUGAGGCUCAGGGCCCAUGGUGAAGCGGAUCAUUUUAUUCCAAGGUCUGCCGGAGUCUCUGACACUUCUGGGUCGUGGGACUUUGUCCAGGAUGAUAAUAAUUCCUCCCCGAGUUUCAGAUUUCCUUGCCUGUGACCCGGGGUAGUAAUAGUUUCUGAGAUGAUUGUAUUGAUUCAGUAAGGGGAGCAGCAUGUGCUGGCAGGUAGUUGGUGCUUAAGGAGCAGAAGUCGCAGUCCCUCUGUCAGCCUCUCCCUGUGUGCUCUGUGCUUUGAGAAGUUGUGUGUUUGGUGAAAGUCACGCCCAAAUACUAGA